GAUGAACGCUGGCGGCGUGCCUAAUACAUGCAAGUCGAGCGAACAGAUGAGGAGCUUGCUCCUCUGACGUUAGCGGCGGACGGGUGAGUAACACGUGGAUAACCUACCUAUAAGACUGGGAUAACUUCGGGAAACCGGAGCUAAUACCGGAUAAUAUAUUGAACCGCAUGGUUCAAUAGUGAAAGACGGUUUUGCUGUCACUUAUAGAUGGAUCCGCGCCGCAUUAGCUAGUUGGUAAGGUAACGGCUUACCAAGGCAACGAUGCGUAGCCGACCUGAGAGGGUGAUAGGCCACCCUGGAACUGAGACAAGCUCCAGACUCCUACGGGAGGCAGCAGUAGGGAAUCUUCAGCAAUGGGCGAAAGCCUGCCGGAGCACCGCCGCGUGAGUGAUGAAGGUCUCCGGAUCGUAAAACUCUGUUAUUAGGGAAGAACAAAUGUGUACGUAACUAUGCACGUCUUGACGGUACCUAAUCAGAAAGCCACGGCUAACUACGUG
rnacentral:rRNA from 1 species